CGCGGCCUAUCAGCUUGUUGGUGGGGUAACGGCUCACCGAGGCAUCGACGGGUAGCUGGUCUGAGAGGACGAUCAGCCACACUGGGACUGAGACACGGCCCAGACUCCUGCGGGAGGCAGCAGUGGGGAAUCUUGCGCAAUGGGCGAAAGCCUGACGCAGCAACGCCGCGUGGGGGAUGAAGGCUCUCGGGUUGUAAACCCCUUUCAUCAGGGACGAAAUUGACGGUACCUGAAGAAGAAGCCCCGGCCAACUACGUGCCAGCAGCCGCGGUGACACGUAGGGGGCGAGCGUUGUCCGG
rnacentral:rRNA from 1 species